rnacentral:rRNA from 1 species
GGAUUAGAUACCCUGGUAGUCCACGCCCUAAACGAUGUCAACUAGACGUUGGGCUCAUUGAGGAGCUUAGUGUCGAAGCUAACGCGUUAAGUUGACCGCCUGGGGAGUACGGCCGCAAGGUUGAAACUCAAAGGAAUUGACGGGGGCCCGCACAAGCGGUGGAGCAUGUGGUUUAAUUCGAUGCAACGCGAAGAACCUUACCAGCCCUUGACAUCCUGGGAAUCUCUAAGAGAUUAGAGAGUGCCUUCGGGAAUCCAGUGACAGGUGCUGCAUGGCUGUCGUCAGCUCGUGUCG